rnacentral:rRNA from 1 species
CCUACGGGAGACAGCAGUGGGGAAUAUUGCACAAUGGGGGAAACCCUGAUGCAGCGACGCCGCGUGAGUGAAGAAGUAUCUCGGUACGUAAAGCUCUAUCAGCAGGAAAGAAAAUGACGGUACCUGACUAAGAAGCCCCGGCUAACUACGUGCCAGCAGCCGCGGUAAUACGUAGGGGGCAAGCGUUAUCCGGAUUUACUGGGUGUAAGGGGAGCGUAGACGGCGCUGCAAGUCCGGAGUGAAAGCCCAUGGCUUAACCAUGGUACUGCUUUUGAAACUGCCGGGCUGGAGUGCAGGAGAGGUAAGCGGAAUUCCUAGUGUAGCGGUGAAAUGCGUAGAUAUUAGGAGGAACACCAGUGGCGAAGGCGGCUUACUGGACUGUAACUGACGUUGAGGCUCGAAGGCGUGGGGAGCAAACAGGAUUAGAUACCCUAGUAGUC